UACGGAGGAUGCAAGCGUUAUCCGGAAUGAUUGGGCGUAAAGCGUCCGCAGGUGGCUGUGUAAGUCUGCUGUCAAAGAGCGAAGCUCAACUUCGUAAAGGCAGUGGAAACUACACGGCUAGAGUGCGUUCGGGGCAGAGGGAAUUCCUGGUGUAGCGGUGAAAUGCGUAGAGAUCAGGAAGAACAUCGGUGGCGAAAGCGCUCUACUGGACCGCAACUGACACUCAGGGACGAAAGCUAGGGGAGCGAAUGGG
rnacentral:rRNA from 1 species